AGAGUUUGAUCAUGGCUCAGGACGAACGCUGGCGGCGUGCCUAAUACAUGCAAGUAGAACGCACAGUUUAUACCGUAGCUUGCUACACCAUAAACUGUGAGUUGCGAACGGGUGAGUAACGCGUAGGUAACCUGCCUGGUAGCGGGGGAUAACUAUUGGAAACGAUAGCUAAUACCGCAUGAAAUUGCUUAUCGCAUGAUAAUUAAUUGAAAGAUGCAAUUGCAUCACUACCAGAUGGACCUGCGUUGUAUUAGCUAGUUGGUGAGGUAACGGCUCACCAAGGCGACGAUACAUAGCCGACCUGAGAGGGUGAUCGGCCACACUGGGACUGAGACACGGCCCAGACUCCUACGGGAGGCAGCAGUAGGGAAUCUUCGGCAAUGGGGGGAACCCUGACCGAGCAACGCCGCGUGAGUGAAGAAGGUUUUCGGAUCGUAAAGCUCUGUUGUAAGAGAAGAACGGGUGUGAGAGUGGAAAGUUCACACUGUGACGGUAUCUUACCAGAAAGGGACGGCUAACUACGUGCCAGCAGCCGCGGU
rnacentral:rRNA from 1 species